UCCGAAAUCAAUGAUUAUACACAAGGCAUAAUUCAUAUCAGGCUUGGUACAUUGAAUAUAUGGGUAAGUAAACACCUUUACACCUAUUCAUGUUGAACCCUUUUAAUAUUAAAUUCUAUGUAUCUAGACUGGGACAAACCCUACAUCCACUUACAUUUAUCCCUAUAGAUAUCAAAUAUAUUAGAUACUUUACCCAAGUCCUUUUUCCAUGAAAACUUCUAUGAUAAGC
rnacentral:lncRNA from 1 species